rnacentral:rRNA from 1 species
GCACAAGCGGUGGAGCAUGUGGUUUAAUUCGAUGAUACGCGAGGAACCUUACCUGGGCUUAAAUGUAGAGUGCAUUUUUUAGAGAUAGAAAUUCCCUUCGGGGCUUUCUGCAAGGUGCUGCAUGGUUGUCGUCAGCUCGUGCCGUGAGGUGUCGGGUUAAGUCCCAUAACGAGCGCAACCCUUAUCGUUAGUUGCCAGCUGGUAAAGCAGGGGACUCUAGCGAAACUGCCACCGUAAGGUGAGAGGAAGUGGGGAUGACGUCAAAUCAGCACGGCCCUUAUGUCCAGGGCUACACACGUGUUACAAUGGCCGGCACAGAGGGCAGCUACCUGGUGACAGGAUGCUAAUCUCGAAAACCGGUCUCAGUUCGGAUCGAAGUCUGCAACUCGACUUCGUGAAGCUGGAUUCGCUAGUAAUCGCGCAUCAGCCAUGGCGCGGUGAAUACGUUCCCGGGCCUU